GCAAGUCGAGCGAUGAAGUUUCUUCGGAAAUGGAUUAGCGGCGAACGGGUGAGGAACACGUAAAGAAUCUGCCCUCCACUUUGGGAUAACACCGGGAAACCGGUGCUAAUACCGAAUAUUGAAACAUAAGUGGCAUCACUGAGUUUUGAAAGAAUUUCGGUGGAGGAUGACUUCGCGGCCUAUCAGCUAGUUGGUGAGGUAAUGGCUCACCAAGGCAACGACGGGUAGCCGGCCUGAGAGGGCGACCGGCCACACUGGGACUGAGACACGGCCCAGACUCCUACGGGAGGCAGCAGUGGGGAAUAUUGGGCAAUGGAGGAAACUCUGACCCAGCGACGCCGCGUGCGGGAUGAAGGCCUUCGGGUUGUAAACCGCUUUCAGUAGGGAAGAAGCGAAAGUGACGGUACCUACAAAAGAAGCACCGGCUAACUAUGUGCCAGCAGCCGCGGUAAUACAUAGGGUGCAAGCGUUGUCCGGAAUUAUUGGGCGUAAAGAGCUCGUAGGUCGUUUGUUACGUCGGAUGUGAAAACCUGAGGCUCAACCUCAGGCCUGCAUUCGAUACGGGCAAACUAGAGUUUGGUAGGGGAGACUGGAAUUCCUGGUGUAGCGGUGGAAUGCGCAGAUAUCAGGAGGAACACCAAUGGCGAAGGCAGGUCUCUGGGCCAAUACUGACACUGAGGAGCGAAAGUCUGGGGAGCGAACAGGACUAGAUACCCUGGUAGUCCAGACCGUAAACGGUGGGCACUAGUUGUGGGAACCUUCCACGGUUUCUGCGACGCAGCUAACGCAUUAAGUGCCCCGCCUGGGGAGUACGAUCGCAAGAUUAAAACUCAAAGGAAUUGACGGGGCCCCGCACAAGCAGCGGAGCAUGCGGCUUAAUUCGACGCAACGCGAAGAACCUUACCUAGGCUUGACAUAUAGG
rnacentral:rRNA from 1 species